CGCGGUAUUUUGACCGUGCGAAGGUAGCAUAAUCAUUAGUCUUUUAAUUGGAGGCUUGUAUGAAGGGUUGGACGAGAAAUUAGCUGUCUUUGUAGGAAAAAUAAAAUUUAACUUUUAAGUGAGAGGGCUUAAAUGUUCUAAAGGGACGAUAAGACCCUAUAAAGUUUGACAUUUUAUUUUUUGAUGAGUAAAUUAGAAUAAUUAAAGUUCAUUAGAUAUUAAAUGUUUUGUUGGGGCGACAAGAAUAUAAAUAAUUUAACUGUUUUUAUGUAAUUACAAAGAUAAUUGAAUUUAUGGUCCUUAUUAAAGAGUGAAGAGUAAAUUACUUUAGGGAUAACAGCGUAAUUUUUUUUGAGAGUUCAUAUCGACAAAAAAGUUUGCGACCUCGAUGUUGAAUUAAAGGUUCUUUAUAAUGUAGCAGUUAUGAAAGAGGGUCUGUUCGACCUUUAA
rnacentral:rRNA from 1 species